UCUCCAUCAACACACGCCCUUGCCAGGAAGCCAACGUGUGCCCGUGGAAAGAACUCGAUACUCCAUUUGGUUGGUGAUUAAUUGUCUGGCUUUUGUAGUUUAUAGUUUACAACCUGACCAUUAAUCUCGUGUUUACCGCAUCUCCCCGAUUGAUGACUCACGAUCUGAAUUAUUCAGUCAUCCCUGUUUGUGCUCCAACCAGGACCAGUGAGGAAAAUGUUCCGCUGCACUGACACGACUGGAAAUCAAUGACUUGAGAAGGUGCAUCAAUGUCCGCAAAGAAAGUGGGAAACAAACACACACACACAUCCAUUUGAUUCAGCACAAGUCAAGAGGAAGUGUGUCAAAGAGAGAGAGCUUCCCGCACUUGCUGGGUGGAUGGCAAAUGGCUUUGAAAGAAUGCGCCAGUACGUGCGUCUGUCGGCAAGUGCCGCUGACUGACAGGUGCUUCUCUGCAAAUGUCGACUGUCGGACACACUCGGCGCCGAGUCGCUUGCCGUCGCACCACGAAAGGACGCCUUAAUAACACUUGGAUAAAAUUUGGGCUCUUCAUAAUCACUGCUGAUAUCUGGAUUCAUCACACACAAACGCAGAGCGAAUGAGGUUCAGCCCCCUCCACAUCCCUGGAGAGCUCAUCAAGGAUGCCCUCCACCUUCUGCUGCUCAAGUCCUUCUCAUCCUCUGCUACCUUACCCCGAAAAACAAAUGCAGCAACCUAUUUGUCGACAUGUUAGACAUUUUUGGUUAUUAGCUCUUUCAAGACGAUCUCAAGGAAGCACGUUUGUGAAUUAAAGUAGGCCAGAUAGUGCUGGAGUACACCGAUGGCGUCUGAUGAAACGCAGUGAAAUAUCCUCCGUUGCUUUCAUGAGCCACUUAUCACUUCUACCCUCCUUCAGGGUUGCACUCUUGCCGCCAGCGUCAAUUUAUAGAUUGCACGAGACACCUGAGAUGAAACAAAAGCCUGUAUGCUUUUGUUAUUCGGCUCUGUUAUGGUGCAUGGAUGUUGAAGGAUUGCAGGGGACAGAUUUGCUUCUCAAAGCCCAAAGGGAACAUUCAAAAUGGAUGUGCACAAGUGCAACAGGUUCAUUUGUUUGCUUUUUUUUUGUUGCUGACACCACAAAAUGAUUGAUGAACUGAGCCGUGAUAUAGAAUUACAAGCAAAAAAAAAUGUGCCUGCCCAGAAAUGACUCAAAAGUGAUAUAUGGGAUCAUUUUACUACUUUGGGUCAGCGAAAAGUUUGACUUUUUAAAAGCCUACUGAGGUUUUGUAUUGAUUUUCUUUUGUUUCGAGUCAUGCAUUCUAUCUGCAAGAGUGUAUAUCAUUUCUGACAACCAAUUUUCAAUUGCAGCUUUGUUCUUAUUUGAA